rnacentral:rRNA from 1 species
AUGAAAAAAGAGUUUGGAGGAUUGGGAAUACCAAACCUCCAGGACAUUAACCUUUGUUUACUAGGCUCUUGGGUUAAGUGGUACUAUGAGGGAGAGGAUAAACCCUGGAAAAAGAUUGUAGACCAGAAGUAUGUGAGGGGGAAACCCAAUUUAUUUGCAGUUGGCCAGAGCUUGAAUGUCUCCAGAUUUUGGAAAGGCAUUAGAUCCAUAAUUCAAGCUCUGAAGUUUGGCUAUAGAUGGAAAGUGGGUAUGGGGACUCAAAUCAGAUUCUGGGAAGAUACCUGGUUUGGUACUCCACCACUGGUUGUUCAAUUUUGGCCGGUUUAUACGGUUUGUAAUGAGCAGUCUAGAAGCAUUAGAGAAGUGUGGGAUGGGGAAAACCUAAUGGUUACGUUUAGAAGGAACUUUGAUGCUAAGCUCAUGGAGCAAUGGUAUCAGAUAGUAUAA